GUGCUGCUGUGUAGUUUAGGAGAAAGGAGGAAAGGUGCGUUGAGGCCGGGUUGGGAGAGGUUUCUGUUUUUGAACCCAACCAGCCUUCCAAGGAAGCUCCAUUUCUUCUUCCCUCUUCUCCUCCUCUCUCUCUCGCGCGCGCUCUCUUUCGCCUGCAUCGAAACUAGCGAAGAAAGGCACAUCUCUCUCGCCGCCAGGACUACCCUUCGGAGGUUUAUAGGGCGGAGCAGCGGCGGGCGGCGGCGGCGGUGGCGGCGAUUCCAUGAAGGGUGGGCGUUUUGCUCGACAGUAGACUGGUUCUUGGUGGAUUGGGGACCGAUCUUUGGCUAUAUUUUGGAAGCGGAGAAAUGCGGGGGUUUUUCGUUGAGAUCCGUUGGGCACGGAAGAGGUCCGAUCUAAGAUGAGAGAGGGGGGAGGUCGGCUCAGAGUGUCGGCGUUGUUGGAUCCCUGGAAGACGAGGAAGAAGGAGCUGUUCUUGGCUUUUCCGUCGCCAGCUUGAUGGCGGCCACCAAGCGCGCCUACAAGCUGCAGGAGUUUGUGGCACAUUCUUCCAAUGUCAAUUGCCUCAAGAUUGGGAGGAGAACCUCGAGAGUUCUUGUCACGGGAGGAGAGGACCACAAGGUCAAUCUUUGGGCUAUUGGGAAGCCCAACGCUAUACUGAGUCUAUCUGGCCAUACAAGCGCAAUUGAGUCAGUAAGUUUUGAUUCAUCGGAAGUAUUGGUGGCUGCAGGAGCAGCUAGUGGCACAAUAAAGUUGUGGGAUUUGGAGGAGGCAAAAGUUGUUCGCACCCUUACGGGUCACAGGUCAAAUUGUAUAUCAGUUGACUUUCAUCCAUUUGGGGAGUUCUUUGCGUCUGGAUCAUUGGAUACAAAUCUAAAGAUUUGGGACAUAAGAAGGAAGGGAUGCAUUCACACGUACAAAGGCCACACUCGGGGGGUUAAUGCUAUCAGAUUUACUCCCGAUGGUCGGUGGAUUGUUUCUGGUGGGGAAGAUAAUAUCGUGAAGCUGUGGGAUCUGACUGCUGGGAAGCUUUUGCAUGAUUUCAAGUGCCACGAGGGUCAAAUUCAGUGCAUAGAUUUUCAUCCUCAUGAGUUUCUCCUUGCAACAGGUUCAGCUGAUAAAACUGUAAAAUUCUGGGACCUUGAAACAUUUGAAUUGAUUGGAUCUGCUGGGCCUGAGACAACUGGUGUACGCUCGAUGACAUUCAAUCCUGAUGGGAGAACUCUUCUUUGUGGAUUGCAUGAAAGUCUAAAGGUUUUCUCCUGGGAACCAGUAAGAUGUCAUGAUGCUGUGGAUGUUGGUUGGUCUAGACUGUCAGACCUGAACACUCAUGAGGGAAAACUUCUUGGAUGUUCUUAUAAUCAAAGUUGUGUUGGAGUUUGGGUUGUGGACCUCUCGCGCAUUGAGCCAUAUGCAGUUGCUACUGCUGCAAGGUCAAAUGGUCAUUCAGAACCAAAAUCUACUUCAAGUGGUAAUAUGUCUUUGCAAGCUGACAACAAUUUAAAGGCAAAUAUGGGGAGGCUAUCAGUGUCACAAAACUCAGAGCCAGCAGUCAAGGAGACAAAACCUGCUUCAGCUACCGGUAGUGUCCCCGGCACCCCUCAAAGGAUUGGAAUGAGCAAUGGUCCAAAAAUAACUGCAGCAAAUUCAGCCGCGGCAACUGGUGCUCCAACUCUUAAGAGAAGUUCAUCAAAGACUCAUGGUACAACCAAUAUUCAGACCUUCAAUAAGAAUGAUGUGAUACCUGUUAUCGUCCCCAGAACUAGCUCGAGAGUGGAGCUGGGCUCUGAUUCUAGAAAAGAAACUGGUGCUGGAAGAAUGCUACCAUACAGUGUCCAGUCAAAAUUUUCUGAUUUUCGGAAGUUAUCAAAUAUCAGAGAUGAUUCGGAUAAAUCAGAUACUACCAUUCAGUCUGGAUUUGUGGGUGAUAAAAACUCUGAAUUGAAUGAAGUUUUGGACCAAAAUUUUCAAUCUGCCGGCAAUGGUGUAGAUCCUCCAGUGAGUGCUGGAGAACAUAACCCUGAUGAUGUUAAACGCACUGGGACGGGGAAACUGGGAGCAAGUCUAUUGACUGAGCCAAGUACAAAUCACAACCAUGAAAAUGGUAACUUUAGGGCCCAUAAACCGAGGGACACAUGCUCUGUGGAAGUUCCAAAAGGAGGUAAAACAAGAUCACUUGUUGCAAGUUGGGAAAAGAGGGAACAAUCUCCUGGCUAUGAGGGUCCAACACCCAGCAGUUCUUCCGAGACCAUGACUGCUACAAAUGUCUCAUAUUCUUUGAGGGGGCGCCCUCCAUCAUUUGGAAAAGAAACAGUCUCUGCUAGUGAUGAAGAUACCAUUGCUGAUCUGAUGGAACAACACGAACAAUUCCUAAACUCUGCACAAACUCAGUUGACAAAACUACAGGUUGUUCACCGACUUUGGGAAAGAAAUGAUUUCAGGGGUGUCAUCCAGGCAAUGGAAAAGAUGUCUGAUCAUGCUGUCUCUGCUGAUGUAGUAAGCAUUUGGACAGAAAAAAGUGAUAACAUAACUCUGGAUAUAUUCACUUGUCUCCUACCAGUCCUUACCAGCCUUCUAGAGAGUAAAAUGGAUAGGUCUGGCAUGAUCAGGCCUAUGUACGGCAUUUAGGCAUUUCCUUGGAGAUCCUGCUGAAGCUUGUGAGAACCUUCGGCCCUGUAAUCCAUUCAACUUUAUCAGCUGCUCCAUCUGUUGGCGUGGACCUUCAAGCAGAGCAGAGGCGGGAGCGGUGCAACUUAUGCUUCAUUGAGCUGGAAAAGGCCAAGCACAGUCUUUUUACUCUCACAAGAAGAGGAGGGUCUACUGCAAAGGCUGCACAGGAGCUGAACCUUGCUCUUCAGGAAGUGUUGUGACUGACUGACUGACAGAUUUGUAUACACAUGCAUAGUUAGGCGAUUGUCAUUCUUUAGCUCUUUCAACCCACCGAUAUUGUAAAGCUGAUGGUUCAGGCUGCUUGGCAGGAGCUUUUUAGGGCUUCAGGGUACUGAAGCCCAGCAGUAACUGCUUCUCAGGAGCUUUUUAGGGCAUCAGGGUAUUGAAGCCCAGCAGUAACGACCAAUGUGUUUCCUGUUUUAUUUAUGUUUGUACGCUUACUAAUUGAGCACCAAGCUCUUUGUAGCUCCAGAAGCUGAAGCAAUGGUGAAAGGGGGCUUUGCUGAAGAGCUAUCUAUAUUUGGCAGCAAUAGAACAAGCUCAGACUUCCCCAGAACAUGUGAACUGCUAAUCUUGAUACGGAGAGCCCUUGCUGCCCCUUUAUAACAGUUGGUUGCUUGAGGCUUGUAUCAUUUUUUGUUACAUAACACAGUUGGUAUUCUAAAGUUUGUUUUUGUUUACUUGAUAUGGGAGGCUGAUCCAUCCAGUGUUUGGGUGAGAACAGACGGGAACAGCUUUAUGUUCAUGUGCUUUUUCUUUGUAUCGGUUACAGGCAGUGGAAAAUGGCUUAUUGAUAUUUUUAAGCAGAACUUUGAGGCCUCAAUUUCCU